UCCAACGACCUCUCCUGAGAGCACCCGGAUGUGCAGAUUUAGCUUGUGCUCUGGGUUGGUGUGAUCCGGAGGGCUCCUGCAUUCAGCAGCGGCUGGCAGCUUGCUUGGGAAGUUGUGGUGCCUUUGGGAGUCACAAGCCGUGCUACAAGGCCUGACCUUCACAGGUGGACGCUCUGUGCAUGAGGUGCAGCUCUACCGCCCAGCCAUCUCCUCCCUCCAACCCCGUACGACCCCCUUCGCCCCCACGAAUAACUAGGUCCCGAGGGGCGGGACAGAGUGGCGCCCAACGUGGGGCUCAAAGUACGGGUCGACCCUGACGGACCCUCGAUAAAAGAGCAGGCCUGCGACAUCAAUAGAUUGGUCACUCUCCUCUGGCCCGGAGAAGACUGCAUGACCUGUAAGAAGCAAGAAGACGUCACCUGCGUAUUUAACCCUGAAUGGUCACAUUGCUGUCUACUCUAUGGCGAAUACCUGGAUAGAGAACUUGCCUGUCUUCUUUGGUCACACCGUGGGAGGAGAUCUGAAAGGACAGAAUGAAGCCUAUCUCUAUGAGGAAGAGGACACUACUGCACAGACAGAGAUGUGAGAUUCCUCCCCGGACCUGCCACGCCCCCUUGGAUCUGCCUGCACCACCACAGCAGCCAUCAUCCAGACACAGCUGACUGGGGAUUUCCCUAGCUUAAACAGAUCCAGAUGAAGAACUCUCAGCUACUUCUUCAGCACUGCCUGUUUGUGGCCAUGCUCCCCACCAUGAUGAUGAUGAACUCAACUUCUGAAACUGUAACUCAUUCCCC